UAUGCUUUAGUUUAUGAUGAACAGAGAUUUUUGGUAUCUCAGGAGAUAGUUUAAUUCUAUCAAGCAUAG
rnacentral:tRNA from 1 species